rnacentral:rRNA from 1 species
UACGGCUAUAUUAAGUUGAAAGACCGGUUCUCGUCCAAUCACCGAAGUUAAGCAACGUCUAGCCUGGUCAGUAUCUAGAUGGGUGACUGCUUGGGAAUACCAGGUGCUGUAAG